AUCAGCAGCCUUAUCACCCUGCAACUCACAUCUGGCAACCCACUGAAGCUAAGCAGGUGUGAGCUUGGUCAGUACCUGGAUGGGAGACCUCCUGGGAAAAACUAAGGUUGCUGCUGGAA
rnacentral:rRNA from 1 species